GGAUGGGCCCGCGGCCUGUUAGCUAGUUGUGGGGUAGUGGCCUACCAAGGCAAUGAUGGGUAGCCGGUUGAGAGACGACCGGCCAGAUUGGACUGAGACACGGCCCAGACUCCUACGGGAGGCAGCAGUGGGGAAUCUUGCACAAUGGGCGAAAGCCUGAUGCAGCGACGCCGCGUGCGGGAUGAAGGCCUUCGGGUUGUAAACCGCUUUCAGCAGGGACGAGGCCGCAAGGUGACGGUACCUGCAGAAGAAGCCCCGGGCUAACUACGUGCCAGCAGCCGCGGUAAAU
rnacentral:rRNA from 1 species